CAAGUAAAAUAGAACGGAACU
rnacentral:piRNA from 1 species